rnacentral:rRNA from 1 species
GACGAACGCUGGCGGCGUGCUUAACACAUGCAAGUCGAGCGGUAAGGCCCUUUCGGGGGUACACGAGCGGCGAACGGGUGAGUAACACGUGGGCGACCUGCCCUCAGCUCUGGGAUAAGCCUGGGAAACCGGGUCUAAUACUGGAUAUGACUCCAUGACGCAUGUUGUGGGGUGGAAAGCCUUGUGCGGCUGAGGAUGGGCCCGCGGCCUAUCAGCUUGUUGGUGGGGUGANGGCCUACCAAGGCGACGACGGGUAGCCGGCCUGAGAGGGCGACCGGCCACACUGGGACUGAGACACGGGCCCAGACUCCUACGGGAGGCAGCAGUGGGGAAUCUUGCGCAAUGGGCGAAAGCCUGACGCAGCGACGCCGCGUGAGGGAUGACGGCCU